rnacentral:lncRNA from 1 species
AGUCUUUCUGUUAAGGACAUUCUUUUAAAUGUAAGUUGCAUAUCUAAUUUUUCGUUAAUUUCAUUUCAACUUUAUAUCUAAUUUCUGUAAUGUAACUUUUACAUUUGAAUAUAUAAUUUUUUGUUUUUUCGUUUCCAUUGUAUUUAGAUUUGAAGUUUGCCCCUUUCUGAUAAAAAAGGAACUGCAGAGUUGAAUUUGAGAGAGGUUGUUUUGGCAUGAUUGUUGGUUCCAAUUACUCACUGUUUUGCUGGAUUUCUCAGAAAUACCUUAACCUUUAUUUAUGAAAAAAUUGCCAUUUAUAAGAGUAAUUCACUAUUUGGUAAAAACAAUGAGGUUCCUACUUUAUACAUGUAUUAAGC